rnacentral:ncRNA from 2 species
UGCAGGAGAGUGAACGCAUGCCGCGUUCCACCGAAGGCGCAAACUCCCAUGAACGCUCAGGUAUCCCACCCCAGGUGAUGUACUGCA